CCCGGGUCCCGCAGCCGCGGCUGAGUCCUUCUCCUCAGGACCGAGCCGAGUGAAAUGACAACCAGCUGGAAAGACCGAGAGACACUUCCGGUUCGAGGAGGGAGGGGCAGGGUGUUGUGGAGGCCCCGCCCAGCGUGCGGAAGACCAAUCCGACGCUAUGAUUCCGAUUAGGCCACGCCUCCCAGGCUCAGAGCCCCUCCCAGGAAGGUCCCCGGUCAUCUCAGAGCCGCCUCUUCCGCUUGUGCCUCGCCCAGUGGGGCCGACGCCGGAGCCGGGUCCGCGCACCCAGUGUAAGUCGUGUGCCGCCAUCUUUUUUGUGGGCAAAGACUCCUUUGAGGUUUAUAUUCCCAAACUAGGCUUCUCAGGAAGCUCAUAGAGAAACGUUCGGAAUAGAGUGGGCUCCUUACGCACCGAAACACUGAACUGAAUUGUUGGGGGCCGAAGUGGCAAACCCAUGAAACCGAGAAUAAACGACAGGCCUGCCCUGAGUAAAGGGUCUCCACCCACAGAGCCGGAAAAGUCGGAUCCUGUGUGGCCAGUUGGUCUUGUCAUCCUGCUGCCAUCUUCUCUGCAGAACAGACACGAGGUGAGGAGUAGGGGCCACAAGGGGAACAGAGCCUCCUCCAUCGCCUUCACUAGCUCAGGACUUCCUCCAGGUUGACCCUUUCAGGAGAGCUUCACAGGUGCUGUGGUUUGAACGUGUGUUCCCCUAUACACCUGUGUAUUGAAAAUGUAAUGCCCAGCACAGACGGUGUCUGGAGGUGUCACCUGUGUGGGAUGACUAGGAUUGGGUGAGGUCAUGAGGGUGGACCCGCGAUGGCAAAGGGCAGGAAGACACACCUGUCUGACUCACAAUGUUGUUGUGUCAGGAGGGCUUCCUCGAUGCUAAGCAGAUGCUGGUGCCAGGUUCCUCGACCUGUAACCCAUAGAAGCAUGAACCAAACAACCUUUUCUCCUUUAUAAAUGAUCUGGUCUCAGGAAUUUUUUCACAUCAAUGAGAAAUGUGCUGAUACAAUAGGUUGUAGCCAGCUGUCAGCAACAAAUCAACAAACCCAACAGGGGCCACGCUGAAAUGAAAACCAACCUACAAGACAUCAGUUGUCCUCCACAGUGCUUGGGGCAGAGAAGAAGAUCUCCGCGUGACAGUUGGCAACUUCCUAAAAAUGAACAAACAGAAUGGUCAGAGCUGGAAUCAACAAUGAUUUUUCCUGGCACAUAUGAUAGGCGAUGAGUAUUUACUCUGUUAACGGUCUGACCAGCUAGCUAGCUGUGGACGAGAAACUCGGCAUCAUAGCCACACUGAGUGUCAGCUUAUAGGCUGAGUCCUGCUUCAGGCCACCCCCUGGCUGUCGCUCAGGAGGGCCAGGAGAGGACAUACGGUUCCAAAGCUUGCCUGUGUUGCAGGAAGUAGCUGUUGUAAGCAAGCACACUGUAGACCAGGCCCUUUGCACACAGCAAUGACUUGCUCACAUCCAGGCACUGAGCUCUUGCUGCCUGUGGGAAGCUGGACUAUUGUUGUCUGUCGAGCUGGCUCAUCACAGGGUGCGUGUGCUGAUUGAGGCGAGACACAUGAGCAUAAGUGGAGCAUGUGCACGGCUACCAUCACUAUGGAAAUCAUGACUCUGAAGGCUGAUGCUGCAUCUAAGUGAGUUGAAAUGAAAUGCAAAGAUCACAUCCAUCACAUGGGUUCAUACUGGCUUAGGUUGCAUCUCAUUACUGUACCUCUCUGCCUACAUAUUAUGAAUUAAUAUAUUUAAUAAA